GCUUUCAGAUGAGACCAUCAAAGUUUAGGUGUUCACAUUACGAAGGCACGACAUUGCUCACAUUGCUUCCAGUGUUUACUUAGCCAGCCGGGUGCUGGCUUUU
rnacentral:misc_RNA from 1 species